rnacentral:rRNA from 1 species
UACGUAGGGGGCAAGCGUUGUCCGGAAUUAUUGGGCGUAAAGAGCGCGUAGGCGGUCCGGUAAGUCGGCUGUGAAAGUCAAGGGCUCAACCCUUGAAAGCCGGCCGAUACUGUCGGACUAGAGUCCGGAAGAGGCGAGUGGAAUUCCCGGUGUAGCGGUGAAAUGCGCAGAUAUCAGGAGGAACACCCGUAGCGAAGGCGGCACUCUGGGCCGAUACUGACACUGAGGAGCGAAAGCGUGGGGAGCGAACAGG